rnacentral:lncRNA from 1 species
UGACGGGGGGCAAUUCCGGCAUUUCCCGCCCGAAUCGUCGGCGAAAGAAAAUAUAAGCACGGCACGGACCCGUGAAAUCCCACUGGCCGCCCACCGUCCUCUCCCUCCCUCGCUGCUGCAAGUUCCUUCCUUUUGCGCGACGACUUCCUCGCUCGAAGGGCCUUCCCUCGCCUUCCGCCAUGACUCAUAUCCUUCGAUCUCUCCGUCUCUUUUGUGGGUUUUUCUUCUUUUUUUUGUUUUUGUGGGUACUUCGACGUGCGUUGAUUUGCUCGCAGCGUUCCGUUUCGAUGAUGCCCCCCCGGUCUUUGCUUCGAGAUUUUUUUUUUUUUUUUUGGUCAGACUUUGUUUCGAGAUUCGAUCGUGCCUUUUUGAAUGUUUUGCUCGCUUGCUCGCUUGAAUUUCGAAGAAGGGUCGCGAAAGGAUUCGUGGGUUCCUCUUGCUUUUCCUUGAUUCCUCUCCUUUGAUCUUGAUGUUGAUGUGCACGCGGCAAUCAGAGAGAUCGCGACAGGGAGAGAGCCCAGGCGCGGGGUACCAAGAAGGGGAGCACCAAGGACGACGGCUUGACUGUCGAGCAGCGCCGCGAAAGGUCGGUCCUUUCGAUCUCCAUUAGGGUUUAAGCGAUGGUGAUUUUUGGAGGGUUGUUUGUUUUUUUUUUGGUCCUUUGAUUAAUGAUUUGGUAGCUCCUGUUUUUUCCUUACCGAUGAUGUUCCGAUGUGGGUUUGGUGGUGAAUUUAAUCGGGGGGUUUUGUUUGAUCGGAUCGAUUUAGGGAUGCGAAGGCCUUGCAGGAGAAGUUGGCAAAGAAGGCGGGCCAGGGGGGAGCCAGCGGGGAUGCCGGAGGUAGUAGCAGCGGCAAAAAAUGAAGGGCGUCGGUCCAAUUGGGUUGAUUUCUCCUUUUCCUCCUGAGGGUGUCUUUUGUUCAGUAUUUCUGGGUGGACAUAGUUUCCAUAUGAAGAACAAGACGUGAGUUUGACUGGGUUUGUUGGUUAUGUUUCCGAUUAUACAAUGUCGAGAAGUUUCGUGGUUGUUAAGAAUCUAAUCCAUCAUUGUCAUGUAUUUGUAUCGGUGAUCAUCUAUUAUCAGUGUCAAUGACUGGUAGUCUUUAUGGAAUGUCCUUCUACAACUCGAGCAUUUUAUGAAGCUAUUAGUAAACACUGCGAGAGUUUGCUGCAUGAUUGACAACGCAGGUGAGUAUGUGAUGAUGUCGAGUGCCUGCGGAAAUAGAAUGAAUUGAUUAGAAUCUAUUAAUUUGAAGUCAACUAUAAUAUAUUAAGCUUGAGAGGUGGCAAUGUCCUGUCUGUAUUCUUCCUUCUUCUUCUUCUUCUUCUUUUAUUCUCAAAUCUUAGGGUGUGAAGUAAUGGAAGAUCUAGCGAGAUGGAAGAUCUAGUGAUUUGCUAUUCGCAUUGGUUCCAUCAUUUGUUUGGUUGACACAUGAUUUCCGGCCAAAUGGUGUGGCCUAAUGAUUUUUAACUAGCUAUAAGUGGUGAAGUAUAGUUGAAACGCACUGAUUGCAUUGUCAUGAUGCAUGUCUGGAGAGUGGCUUGAUUGCCAGGAAUGUCAGACCUACAUAGUUCUAGAUAUAGUUUGAAUUUCAACUUGGAUGUCACGAUUGUAUCUGAUUUGAGUCUUCAUUAUUCAAUAAUACUCUAAACUCCUAAAUUGCUUGUGAAUUUGUUGAUUAAGUGCCCAUUCAAUGAUACUAUAAAUUUCUCAAUUGCUUGGUAUGAAUCUAUCAUGUGCCAAUUCAUCAUUUACUAUCUCUUUGUUCUCCUAGAAGGUGUGGCUUCCAUCAUAUUCACAGCCGAAAUGACAUUUUAACCAUUUCGGAACAGUGCUAAGGUUUCUGGGCUGUGUCAUGAUUCUUCAUUUGCAUUAUUCUGGAUGUAUAUAACCUUUUAAUGUUUGCCUUGAAGUGCAAAAGUUGUCUGAGAGAAUGAGUUUUUAGAAAUAUUAGAAAUAUUUACUCUUGUAGGUAGAAAUGAAUGUGUGCAGUUCACGGCAUGGUAUGUCCAUCAUUGAUCAUGAAAUUGCUUAAUGAGUUAAACAUAUUGUACUGAAGGCGUAUGCGCUGCAUGUCUGUGUGAAGAUAAGAAAAAAUGGAAAAGUGAGACAAUGGUUUUAGCUUAAUAUAUACUGACAGGCACUUUUCUAAGUUUUGACAUUUGAAGCAUUUCAUGAUUUCCUCUUGUAUCUGUUGAUCCACCAGAUGAAAUAUGUCCUCAAUUAUAUUUUUGCUGCUAUUGGUUUUUAAAGAUCGAUUCUUCAAUUGGUUAGCUUCGAUGCAAAGCUUGUAAAUUGAUUUGGCAUGUGGUUUUUGUGUGAGGAAGAGUCAUGGGUUGACAUUCUAAUUCAAGCUGGAAGUAGAAUGAAGAUUAUCAUCUUAGGAAACCUUAUUCUCAUCUUAGUUUGAUGAUCCUUCAAAUUUUCGUCUUCCCCUGUCAUCUUUAUGUCAAAUGAACGAGGAUUCUCAGUUUUUUACAAAAGUUUUACUGCCCAGUAGAUAAUGAUUCACCAUGAUUCAUUCUUCUUGGAACUAUUGAUUGUAUAUACCCAACAUGUUGUUGUCUUGUAGAUCUCUAUGGAUCGGUUAAAUACAGUAGAUCAUUGUGCUUAGUAGUAUGUGUUGUAUAUAGUUGAAAUGAUGUUGGCUUUUAGAAUUCUUUGAAUCUGCUAAGUUUUGUGCAAUGCCUUUCUGUUGGUUUAAAUAAACAUUAUGUCGUCGUAGCCAUAGAAAGUUCUGUGAGCCUUUAUGUGUUUCGUCUUCCCUAGUUCACAAAUCAGCAGCACAUAUUAGUGGUCGAUUAAUUUCAAUGCGGAUGUUUCUUUUAAGGUGUUGUAAGGAUGUUUUGAUCCAUUUUCAAUCAUAGUGUAGGUGAGAGAGCUAGGAGGACUGAAUCCAGAUCAUUCUUCAUUGAAUGUAGGACGACACAUUGAGAAUUCGCAUUUUGGGCUAUAUUUAUGUUGGAGGACUAUGGCAGAAUUCGGAUUGUGGGGUUGAUGGCAUUUUAAACCUUUUAAUAAGUCUUAAAGAUAGUAAAUUGGCAGUUCUCUCAGAGUGAUCAUUGUAAGUAAAGGUGAGAUCUGUGCAUCAGGUUCACUGGAAUGGCCUGUGAAGGAUCAACAUGGCCAAAUCAAUGUGUGAAUCAACGUCAGAGAGUAGUGAGCUUCAAUAAUGACGAAUUGUUCAUGAAAACUGUAGUGUUUCCAAAUCACUGUGAGAAU